rnacentral:rRNA from 1 species
GUGGGGAAUCUUGCGCAAUGGGCGAAAGCCUGACGCAGCCAUGCCGCGUGAAUGAUGAAGGUCUUAGGAUUGUAAAAUUCUUUCACCGGGGACGAUAAUGACGGUACCCGGAGAAGAAGCUCCGGCUAACUUCGUGCCAGCAGCCGCGGUAAUACGAAGGGGGCUAGCGUUGCUCGGAAUUACUGGGCGUAAAGGGCGCGUAGGCGGACAGCUUAGUCAGAGGUGAAAGCCCAGGGCUCAACCUUGGAAUUGCCUUUGAUACUUGCUGUCUUGAGUUUAGGAGAGGUGGGUGGAACUCAGAGUGUAGAGGUGAAAUUCGUAGAUAUUCGGAAGAACACCAGUGGCGAAGGCGACUCACUGGCCCAAUACUGACGCUGAGGCGCGAAAGCGUGGGGAGCAAACAGGAUUAGAAACCCCAGUAUCC